UAAAAGCAUGUAUACUACCAAUAUUUAUUAUUAUUAUAUAUUAAAUAUGAUAAAAUGAUUUAUGUUCUGAAUCAGUGGUUUUAUGACUUUUUUGGUGUGGCUAAUUAAGCAUAUGUAACUAGAUGCCAUUUAACCUUUUAGAGCAGGAAUCAGCACACUUUUGUCUUAAUGGGAAAGUGGUAAAUAUUUUAAGCUUUGCCAGCCAUCCAAUCUCUGCCACAACUACCCAUUUCUGUUGUAGUGUGGAAACAGCUAUAAGCAAUAUGUCAAUGAAUGAGCAUUGCCUAUGUUUCAAUAAAACUUUAUGAACAGUGAAAUUUGAAUUUCAUAUUAUUUUCAUGUGUUAUGAAGUAUUAUUGUCUGAUUUUUUCAGUGAAUUAAAAAUGUAAAGCUAUUUUUAACUUAUGGGCGAUCCCAAAACAGUUGGUGGGAUGAAUUUACCUGGUAAGUCAUAAUUUGCAGACCCCUGUUUUUGGUCUCACAAAGAGAGAGAGAUUAUUCUUUGCUGGUAAAAUGGGAGGAUAUUUUCUCUACCAACCACCUAGGGUGGUGAUGAGUGAAAGACAUUUGUCAUUGAAGUUUUUUGCAUAGGACAUGUUCAGAUGUGAUAUACUGUCAUUUGACAUUCAGAAAAAUUAUUGAAUUAUCCAUAGUAGCAGGAUGCACACUUUUACUGGGAGCUAAUGAGAAAUUUAUCUUUUCAAGGAAUAAUUUUUGCUGAAGGAAGAAAAAAUAUGAAUAUACUUUGCAUAAGUAAUAGUACAAGUAUGAUUCUAUUAUUCCUAAUAUUUCUAGGACACUGGUUGAUAGGUUAAGUAAUUUCUUAAGUAGAGAAGGGACUGAGCAGAUUACAUCCACUAUUGGACUUUAUUUUUACUUCUUUACUUGAACUUAUCAUUUUCUGUUUUAUGUAGAUGGUUUAUUGGAUAGACUGGACUGAGAGGGUACAGUGAGGAAUCAGCUUCAUUAUUUUCUAAACACUACCUUCAGCAAGACUCUUUGGAUCACCUUCCCCAAUUCAGAGGAUUUCUUUGGUGAAUCUCGGACACUUUCAGGUGGAGGCCAGGAGUGGAUGGACCUGGAGUUCUAUGCGCUUGAGCUUGGUCUGGAUGGGCCACUGCUGCUCUUGGACUACCAAGGAUGCACCAAGGAAGAUAAUAAACGGGCAUCCAGGAAGGAUGCUGUCAUCAGGUCAGGUGCACUGUUCAGCCAGAGGAUUAACCCAGGGAAGCUGGGCAGGUCUAAGGGAGGUACCAUAGUAGAAGACAUUGGGAGAGAGUAGACAAGUUCAUCAUGGAGGGAAAUAGACUCUCCUCGAAGAGAUCUCCUGAAAUGCUGGAGCCCAACAUCAGGGAUUUUUAAAGAGAACUUGUAGCCUCCUUUGUGGGGGAAGAGAUUUGAUAGUGGUGCUUCACUGACAUGGAUCUGUACAGUAAUUACAUGGGAAGCUGGUUAAACAUUCAGUUUCCUGGGCCCCAUGCCCUGAGAUCCUGAGGCCGAAAGUCUGAAACUGGCCCCUGGAAUCCCGUCUGCGGUAGACACCUCAGGCAGUUCUGAGGCAGCAAUUCUGUGGACUCCCUGUUGAGACUGUGGACAAAUGUGCAGAGGCAAAUUUUUCCCUUUCUCUUGCUCUCAAAUCCCACUGUGUUAAAUGCUGGAAAAGAAUGAUGUCAGGGAAUCACACGACGGAGACUAAUUAGCGCUACAGAAUAAUAAGAAAAAAAUACCCGCAGGGAUGUGGGCGGGGCUGCACUGCCACCAUACAUGUCUGGUGGCUGAGUUGAUACCAGAGAAAUAGCUGGGGGAGGGAUUCUUCACGUGGUGGUAUCCUUCAUGCUUCUGAGAGUGUCCUGUUUUCUGUACCCAAGAAAUCUGAAGAUCAAGGGAACAAACUAGAUUGAAAACUUCAUUUAUUUGUAUUUUCAUCAUUUAAUUAUACAAUUAAAUAGUUAGACAAUCA